GUGGAUUAGAUACCCUGGUAGUCCACGCCCUAAACGAUGUCAACUAGUUGUCGGGAGAGGAGACUUUCUUGGUAACGCAGCUAACGCGUGAAGUUGACCGCCUGGGGAGUACGGUCGCAAGAUUAAAACUCAAAGGAAUUGACGGGGGCCCGCACAAGCGGUGGAUUAUGUGGAUUAAUUCGAUGCAACGCGAAAAACCUUACCUACCCUUGACAUGCCAGGAACUUUCCAGAGAUCGAUUGGUGCCCGAAAGGGAACCUGGACACAGGUGCUGCAUGGCUGUCGUCAACU
rnacentral:rRNA from 1 species